rnacentral:piRNA from 1 species
AAAUGGAUGUAAUUUGAAUAAAUUUU